GAGCAUAGCUCAGUUGGUAGAGCAAGUGACUCUUAAUCACUGGGUCGUGGGUUCGAAUCCCUCUGCUC
rnacentral:tRNA from 1 species